UACGUAGGGCGCAAGCGUUGUCCGGAAUUAUUGGGCGUAAAGAGCUCGUAGGUGGUCUGUUGCGUCCGCUGUGAAAACCCAGGGCUUAACCCUGGGCUGGCAGUGGAUACGGGCAGACUAGAGGUAGGUAGGGGAGAAUGGAAUUCCCGGUGUAGCGGUGAAAUGCGCAGAUAUCGGGAGGAACACCGGUGGCGAAGGCGGUUCUCUGGGCCUUACCUGACACUGAGGAGCGAAAGCGUGGGGAGCGAACGGG
rnacentral:rRNA from 1 species